rnacentral:misc_RNA from 1 species
AUUGUAUUUUUUUUUUUCUACUUUGUGAAGUGCAAAGGGAGGAAAUUUAUCUUAAUAUUUAUUCUCAAAGUCAUGUAGUGUUAUGCUGUUACUUAUGUUCUGACCUGCUAAUUAAUGGAGAUCAUUAAGUGUCUGCUCAUUUAACAAUAAACAAGGAUCUACAGGAGUAAAUGAUCAUGUAAAAUUUCUGUGCUGCAAUAUUGCGUGUGGCUUG